CCUACGGGGGGCUGCAAUCGAGAAUCAUUCACAAUGGGGGAAACCCUGAUGGUGCGACGCCGCGUGGGGGAAUGAAGGUCUUCGGAUUGUAAACCCCUGUCAUGUGGGAGCAAAUUAAAAAGAUAGUACCACAAGAGGAAGAGACGGCUAACUCUGUGCCAGCAGCCGCGGUAAUACAGAGGUCUCAAGCGUUGUUCGGAAUCACUGGGCGUAAGGCGUGCGUAGGCUGUUUCGUAAGUCGUGUGUGAAAGGCGCGGGCUCAACCCGCGGACGGCACAUGAUACUGCGAGACUAGAGUAAUGGAGGGGGAACCGGAAUUCUCGGUGUAGCAGUGAAAUGCGUAGAUAUCGAGAGGAACACUCGUGGCGAAGGCGGGUUCCUGGACAUUAACUGACGCUGAGGCACGAAGGCCAGGGGAGCGAAAGGGAUUAGAUACCCGAGUAGUC
rnacentral:rRNA from 1 species